UAGGGAAUCUUCGGCAAUGGGGGCAACCCUGACCGAGCAACGCCGCGUGAGUGAAGAAGGUUUUCGGAUCGUAAAGCUCUGUUGUAAGAGAAGAACGUGUGUGAGAGUGGAAAGUUCACACAGUGACGGUAACUUACCAGAAAGGGACGGCUAACUACGUGCCAGCAGCCGCGGUAAUACGUAGGUCCCGAGCGUUUUCCGGAUUUAUUGGGCGUAAAGCGAGCGCAGGCGGUUUAAUAAGUCGUCAGUUAAAGGUAGUGGCUUAACAAUUGUUCGCUUUGGAAACUGUUAAACUUGAGUGCAGAAGGGGAGAGUGGAAUUCCAUGUGUAGCGGUGAAAUGCGUAGAUAUAUGGAGGAACACCGGUGGCGAAAGCGGCUCUCUGGUCUGUAACUGACGCUGAGGCUCGAAAGCGUGGGGAGCAAACAGG
rnacentral:rRNA from 1 species